ensembl:snRNA U6 U6 spliceosomal RNA
GCUCACUUCAGCAGAGUAUAUACUGAACCUGGAAUGUUACAGAAAAGAUUAACAUGACCCUUGUGCAAGGAUGACACAAAUUCAUGAGUUAUUCCAAUUUUUG